AACGAACGCUGGCGGCAGGCCUAACACAUGCAAGUCGAGCGAAGCCUUCGGGCUUAGCGGCGGACGGGUGAGUAACGCGUGGGAACGUGCCCUUUGGUACGGAAUAGCCCCGGGAAACUGGGAGUAAUACCGUAUGUGGUCGAGAGACGAAAGAUUUAUCGCCAAAGGAUCGGCCCGCGUUGGAUUAGGUAGUUGGUGGGGUAAUGGCCUACCAAGCCGACGAUCCAUAGCUGGUUUGAGAGGAUGAUCAGCCACACUGGGACUGAGACACGGCCCCAACACCCUCCGGGGGGAAGCGGGGGGAAAGCUAGAACAAUGGGGGAAACCCUGAUCUAGCCAUGCCGCGUGAUCGAUGAAGGCCUUAGGGUUGUAAAGAUCUUUCAGUGAGGAAGAUAAUGACUGUACCCACAGAAGAAGCCCCGGCUAACUCCGUGCCAGCCGCCGCCGUAAAAC
rnacentral:rRNA from 1 species